UGGAGCCAUAAACAUCUAUACGAGUGACUCUGUCUGAUUCGAUUCACUGAACCAUUCAAAUGAGUCAUUUGUUUGUAAGUCAAACUGAGCACGCUAUAGUAGCAUUACACCUGCUAAGAUAAUUCAAUAUGUGCAAUCUGAAUUUAAUAAUAAUAUUUAUUUUGUGGUAACACUGCCGUGUGGGCAGCUCUGACAGAGAAAAACACUAUAGAUACGUAAGAGAAAGCCGUAAAAUGUAAGUGCAUCAUCUUUUGUUCUUGAAUGGAGGCCUAAUCUGUCUGCUGCACUUCAGCAGGUUCAGUUUUUAGAGUGAAUGAAAACUUCUGAAGCAUAGAUAUGCCGUGUGAUGUGAUUAAAAUCAUACUUAUUUUACUGUGGUGGGGAUUAUUAUGAGCAAACAAAUUUAAAAGUUUAAUCUGAACACUAUAUAUAUGUAAUCUGACAUUUAUUUAUUUUAUUUUUUUACAGAAAUUCUGAGCUGCUGCAUGAACAUUCAUCAAACAUAUAAGGCUGCAAUUUGGAAAAAAACUUUCAAGCUAAUGCUGCUGAAAUGGAGGUCAAGGGGACUAUGAAGAGGUGGCUUCCAGCUGAUCAAAAGUUACAAUAAUCAGCUGAUCCAGUCGGUAUCCAGACCAGACGGUGGACCUGCACCAGGAGUGACCACAACACAUCCCUGACUGUCAGCGGAGACCAUGUCAGCUAGAUGACAGAUCCCUGUGAAGACCUCACUGAUGGCCUCAGCACAGAUCCUCAGCAAAGACUACGAGAACCAGACAAGCCCUCUGCACAGACCCUUUUACCAGCUUCACCUGCUGGCGUGAUGUUUCCUCAUGCAGAAGAAGUUGGACGAAAUAUUCUGAAUGAUAUCAAUCCACAAUCUGACUUGUGAUGCAGCCUGGAAUAAUCACACCACGUUCAUUCGUUUGGCCAGACGAGACUGUUUCCUGACUGAGCCGGGUCUUGUUUGGGUUUGGGUUCCUUGUCACUGUUGCCUUUUGUCUUGCUUGGUUGAAGACACCUAAUAUUCAGCAAUAUUAUUGACUUGACUGCACUGACACCAUUUGAUAAGAACUGAACUGAAUUAUGACACACAAUGUUUUAUAUAUGAAGUUUAUUUGCAAAAACGGAUAACGGAUAAAAUUUUGUUUUUUGUUAUCAUGUUUUUGUUUUAUUGUGUUAGUUAGCUAGUAUUUAUUAGUUAUUCUUUACCUAAUCAAAAUAACCUGCAUGCAGUUUGAUUGAGAUUAAUUGGA